rnacentral:rRNA from 1 species
UGAGGAAUAUUGCGCAAUGGGCGAAAGCCUGACGCAGCGACGCCGCGUGGGGGAUGAAGGUUUUCGGAUUGUAAACCCCUUUCAGGAGGGACGAAGCGAAAGUGACGGUACCUCCAGAAGAAGCCCCGGCCAACUACGUGCCAGCAGCCGCGGUAAUACGUAGGGGGCGAGCGUUGUCCGGAUUUAUUGGGCGUAAAGAGCUCGUAGGCGGCUCAACAAGUCGGCCGUGAAAGCCUGAGGCUCAACCUCAGGACGCCGGUCGAAACUGUUGUGGCUAGGGUUCGGUAGAGGAGAGUGGAAUUCCCGGUGUAGCGGUGAAAUGCGCAGAUAUCGGGAGGAACACCAGUAGCGAAGGCGGCUCUCUGGGCCGACACCGACGCUGAGGAGCGAAAGCUAGGGGAGCAAACAGGAUUAGAUACCCUGGUAGUCCUAGCUGUAAACGUUGGGCACUAGGUGUGGCGGAUUCAUUGACAUCUGCCGUGCCGAAGCUAACGCAUUAAGUGCCCCGCCUGGGGAGUACGGUCGCAAGGCUA